UGGGGAAUAUUGCACAAUGGGGGAAACCCUGAUGCAGCGACGCCGCGUGAGCGAAGAAGGUUUUCGAAUCGUAAAGCUCUGUCCUAUGGGAAGAUAAUGACGGUACCAUAGGAGGAAGCCCCGGCUAACUACGUGCCAGCAGCCGCGGUAAUACGUAGGGGGCAAGCGUUGUCCGGAAUCACUGGGCGUAAAGGGUUCGCAGGCGGAAAUGCAAGUCAGUUGUGAAAGGCAGAGGCUCAACCUCUGUAAGCAAUUGAAACUGUAUUUCUUGAGAUGUGGGGAGGCAAGUGGAAUUCCUAGUGUAGCGGUGAAAUGCGUAGAUAUUAGGAAGAAUACCGGUGGCGAAGGCGACUUGCUGGACACAAACUGACGCUGAGGAACGAAAGCGUGGGUAGCAAACAGG
rnacentral:rRNA from 1 species